AGACCAUACUGGCAAAUAACAAUCACUGAGAGUCUUCCCCAAAAUAACAAAAAGCAAGUUGCAAAAUCCCAUUCAAGAGAUACAAGAACUUCCAAUGAUAAACUGUGAACUCAGCUGUGCAGGGAGAAGCUGAAUGGCUCAAAGCAAGCAUUUUGACGCUAUUAAUGA